AUGGCUCAGAACGAACGCUGGCGGCGUGCUUAACACAUGCAAGUCGAACGCGAAAGGGACUUCGGUCCUGAGUAAAGUGGCGCACGGGUGAGUAACGCGUAGAUAACCUGUCUUCAUGUCUGGAAUAAUACGCCAAAGGGGUACUAAUACCGGAUAUUCUUGCUUUUCAUAAGUUAUGCAAGCAAAGGUGGCCUCUGCAUAUGCUACUGCAUGAAGAGGGGUCUGCGUACCAUUAGCUAGUAGGUGGGGUAAUGGCCUACCUAGGCGACGAUGGUUAGCGGGUCUGAGAGGAUGAUCCGCCACACUGGCACUGGAACACGGGCCAAACUCCUACGGGAGGCAGCAGUGAGGAAUAUUGCGCAAUGGGGGAAACCCUGACGCAGCGACGCCGCGUGAGUGAGGAAGGCCUUCGGGUCGUAAAGCUCUGUCAAGAGGAAAGAAGUGUACAAUGGCUAAUACCUGUUGUAUUUGACGGUACCUCUAAAGGAAGCACCGGCUAACUCCGUGCCAGCCGCGGC
rnacentral:rRNA from 1 species